CAGUAGCCGCGGUAACACGGAGGGGGCUAGCGUUGUUCGGAAUUACUGGGCGUAAAGCGUACGUAGGCGGUUUUGUAAGUUAGAGGUGAAAGCCCGGAGCUCAACUCCGGAAUUGCCUUUAAGACUGCAUCACUUGAACGUCGGAGAGGUGAGUGGAAUUCCGAGUGUAGAGGUGAAAUUCGUAGAUAUUCGGAAGAACACCAGUGGCGAAGGCGGCUCACUGGACGACUGUUGACGCUGAGGUACGAAAGCGUGGGGAGCAAGCAGGAUUAGAUACCCGUGUAGUCCCUGUCUCUUAUAC
rnacentral:rRNA from 1 species